UACGUAGGGUCCAAGCGUUAUCCGGAAUCACUGGGCGUAAAGCGUGUGUAGGCGGAAAUUUGCGUGUAAUGCGAAAUCCGGUGGCUCAACCAUCUGGACUGUAUUGCAUACGGGAUUUCUGGAGGUCGGCAGAGGCAAGUGGAAUUACUAGUGUAGCAGUGAAAUGCGUAGAGAUUAGUAGGAACACCAAUGGCGAAGGCAGCUUGCUGGGCCGCACCUGACGCUGAGACACGAAAGCGUGGGGAGCGAACAGG
rnacentral:rRNA from 1 species